rnacentral:rRNA from 1 species
AGUGAACGCUGGCGGUAGGCCUAACACAUGCGAGUCGAACGGCAGCACAGUAAGAGCUUGCUCCUACGGGUGGCGAGUGGCGGACGGGUGAGGAAUACAUCGGAAUCUACUUUUUCGUGGGGGAUAACGUAGGGAAACUUACGCUAAUACCGCAUACGACCUACGGGUGAAAGCAGGGGAUCUUCGGACCUUGCGCGAUUGAAUGAGCCGAUGUCGGAUUAGCUAGUUGGCGGGGUAAAGGCCCACCAAGGCGACGAUCCGUAGCUGGUCUGAGAGGAUGAUCAGCCACACUGGAACUGGGACACGGUCCAGACUCCUACGGGAGGCAGCAGUGGGGAAUAUUGGACAAUGGGCGCAAGCCUGAUCCAGCCAUACCGCGUGGGUGAAGAAGGCCUUCGGGUUGUAAAGCCCUUUUGUUGGGAAAGAAAAGCAGCAGGUUAAUACCCCGCUGUUCUGACGGUACCCAAAGAAUAAGCACCGGCUAACUUCGUG